AGACGCAGUCUGCCUUCCUUCCCAAUUUAACAGUGCCACAAUUCCUGUGUCACCUGGGAUUUUCCUCCUCAACCAGGUGAAGGAAAAUGGAAGCUGGAAAACCUGCCCUUUCCCAUCUUCUGAGCUUGGAGGCAAGCACAGAGGCUCUUUUCUCUUUAAAAGGUUUUACUCCUUGUCAUUUGGAAAAUAGACAAGGGGAAAUUAUAAAAGCUUCAGAAAACUUGUUAAUAUCCUGGACAUUUCUUGCCAAGGCUUCUUCCUAUACAUAUACACAAAAAUAUGUUUUAUGGAAAUGGGAAUUACAGAAACUUGCUCUAAAGAAAAAUUGCUGGAUUAAGGGAUGUGAAUAUUUUAGCAGUGCUUGACACUUAGCCAAAUUGCCUUCCAGAAGUGAUGAAACAACUUACCCUCCCACAGGCAGCUCAUGAAACCUCCUGUCUCACCAAACUAGGUAUUGGAAUUCUAAAAAGAAAAUAAAGCUGUUUGCCAAUUUGA